rnacentral:lncRNA from 1 species
CUCUUGUAGUAAAAAAUUUGGAGACUGAGGCUGGUGACAUUGGUUCAGAGCCUGGACGAUUACCAGGGCCAGCAUUUCUGCGAUCCUCCUUACCUUUUCCUCAUGCCUCUUCACUCAUGAUCACAUUAUGGCUACUGCUGCUCUGGACCUCGGUCACAUCUGUGAUCAACGGUGGAGGAAGGUCAAAGGGAAAAGGAUGUGUCAGCGGAUUUCUUCUUACAUCUCAUUGGACAACGUUGGAGGAGGUCAUCGAGAGGAGGCGACCACUGGUUGAUCUGUGAGCUAGACCCAGGCAAUCAGAGGCUCCUCACCCCCUCCUCUGUCCUUGCAAUGAUGCAAGGAUUACAGAGAGUCCAUGUGGACAGCUCCCAGGAUUGGGAGUGCACUGGUGAGACAUUCCUGGUCCUGGGACUCAUGAUCUUGGCCCUAAUGGUCACAAAUGUGACAAGGCUACAUCUAUUGAUUCAACAAAUAUCUGUUGAAUGUCUACUAUGUGUCAGAUACUGUUCCAGGUGUUGAAGAUGAAUACCUG